CAAUAAUGACUUAUAAUGAUUUAACUAAGACUUUGAGUAAACUGCAGGUCCUUUUAUGUGAACAACUUAACUGGACCAAUCUCUGCCUUCUUGGGAUACAUCAGCACUCUAAAAUACUUGAACCUUGAGACUAACAUGUUUUCUGGAACUGUUCCUCCUGAGCUUAGGAAGUUGGUUAACUUGCAAAAUCUACUGUUCAUGAAGGACGCAUAUAUCAACUAAAACUGUUCUGUGACAAAAAUUAUCCAGAGAAGCCACCAAGUAUACGAUUUCAUACACGCAUCAACUACUGCACUGUUUUGAAAUGUUCUUUUAUUUUAAUAUAUGCAGGGAUAUGCUGGUGCAGCUAUAGCAUAUGGGUCUCUUCUUCUUCUUCAAGGUCUCUUCUUCCCCACCAUGCUUCUUUUAUGUUAUUGUAGAAUAGUCAUCAAGAUUCCCAACGAAUAACUGCAAUGUGUUAAGUUCUUGCCAGAAAUGGAUCUAUAUGUAGGGUGAUUCUUCAAAUAGAAAUAAUGGUCUGUUGCAGCAAGAACUUAUAUUUCUGUCCCAUGUCAUGAA